rnacentral:rRNA from 1 species
GGCUCAGGAUGAACGCUAGCGGCAGGCUUAAUACAUGCAAGUCGUGGGGCAGCAUGAGUAGCAAUACUUGAUGGCGACCGGCAAACGGGUGAGGAACACGUACGCAACCUUCCUUCAAGCGGGGAAUAGCCCAGAGAAAUUUGGAUUAAUACCCAUAAUAUAUUUGAUAAGGCAUCUUAUUAAUAUUAAAGCUUCGGCACUUGAUGAUGGGUGUGCGGCUGAUUAGAUAGUUGGCGGGGUAACGGCCCACCAAGUCUACGAUCAGUAGCUGAUGUGAGAGCAUGAUCAGCCACACGGGCACUGAGACACGGGCCCGACUCCUACGGGAGGCAGCAGUAAGGAAUAUUGGACAAUGGACGAAAGUCUGAUCCAGCCAUGCCGCGUGAAGGAUUAAGGUCCUCUGGAUUGUAAACUUCUUUUAUAUGGGACGAAAAAAGGGCAUUCUUGUUCACUUGACGGUACCAUAUGAAUAAGCACCGGCUAACUCCGUG